CCAUCAUUGUCAUCAAAACCACCACCACCACCGACAGCAACACCGUCACGGGGCAAACCACCACAGCAAGCACGACACCACCGGCCACCCCUCACUAUUGCAAUGCAAACUACCACCACAUUCACCGAAACCAAGCAUCAAAACAAUGAAAAACAAACCACCAAUCACGUCACCUGAUGUGAACCUGGUACACGAACACUAACGAACCCACAGAAGAAUAACACAAACCUCGAGAAAGCCAAAAAUCAAAGUUUAGGAUUCAAUUCACAAAUUUGCGGACCAAACAACCAAUAGUAUAUUAAACUAUUGACCUUUUGAUCACGAAACUUAUAAAUUUAAUCCGGAUUUGAAUUUAACCCAACUAAUUAAUGAAAACAACCCCAAGGUAACAAAGACACGAAUGACCUUUUCAUUACACAAUUAAUUGAACCUUACCCGAGUUUUGAAAGCCACAAGAUCGCGAAAUUUUGAUAAGUUCGGUUGUUCCACACAAGAACAAAUAUUGGAAGCGAAAAAGCCUUUCGAAUUAAUUCUCAAAAUAUCGAAGUCUUCGAAUAUAAUAGUGAAAUAAAUUUCCUAUUUAUAUUAAUGUCUAGAAAUAUGGGAAAAAAACCUGAUUUAAGAGUCCUAAAAUAAUAAACUUACAAAAAAUAAAAAAUUGAGUCAAAGUAGGAUUCUCGCGAGGAUAUUGUAACUUUGGUCCCAAAGUAUACUAUGCGGCCGACUUUGGCCUAAUCUAGAUCAUAACAUCCCUUCUCUCUUCGAAAAGAUUCGAUCUCGAAUCUGAACCUGGUUCAAAUACUUUGCACCUUCCAUCUGCUUGAUCAAUGUUGAACUCUUGAUUGAGCUUCUUGUACCCCGCGUUGCAAUGGUUGAUUAAUUCCUCUUCAAUGCUCUAAAGUUACUCCAUUUGUUGUACAUCAAUGAAAUACUUAAAUGGUGCUUUCUCAUGCAAUAAAUUUUUUUUUCCUGCAGUAAGGAAUGUUUCAAACUGGGGAGGAAUAUGUUAGCCUUCACCAACUCUCAUCCACCACCAAGCUCGAUCUUCUUUGCAUAUAAGCUCUCCUUUCAUUUUUCUUUCAUUUUCCCCUCAUCGCCUUUCAACCUCAACUAAUCAUCAUACACUUGUUGUGGUGUCAAAGGGACAAGUGUAAUUGUUUUUCCAUCCAUGUCAAAGUUGUAACUAUUUCUAAAUCCAUCAUGCUUCACCUUCCUAUCGUAUUACCACGGCCUACCCAAUAAUAUAUGCCCCGCAUCCAUAGGCACAAUAUCACACAACACUUCAUCCUUAUACAUCUCAAUUGACAAAUUCAAUAACACCCUCUUGUUCACCUUAACCUCUCCAUAAUCAUUCUUGAUUAAUGUGGUACUAGCUAAAUUUGUGCAACAACCUCCGUCAAUUAUUAAAUUACAUACCUUAUUUUCCACGUGGCAUCGUGUAUGGAAGAUAUUUUCCCGCUGUUGCUCCUCUUCAUCCACCUUGAUUUGCGAACUGAGUGCACGCAUCACCACCAAUGCGUCCCCUUCAACUGGAUACUCCACCCCGUCAUCAUCACUAACAUCUUCUAACUUGGGCAUUCCAUCUUCAUCACUGUCACUCACCACUUCCCCGCUGUCUUUCAAAAUCAUGGCUCGUUUGUUUGGAUACUGAGAAAUAAUGUGUCCUAUCCCCAAGCACUUGAUGUCCGGAUUCCUAACCAUGCCAGCGUUGUUAUCCUUUCCCCUAGGUGGUUCAAUUUUAUUGUUGACAAUAUGCCAUCAACCUUCUCUUCAUCCCACCUAGACCUCCAAGAUGAAUUAGGCCUCUGUUGAUUCCUAGCUCCCCAUUUUCUCUUCAACUGUCUCUCAACCUUCAUUGCUACAUGCAACAUAUCCUCUAGUUCCAUGUAAUGCUGCAAUUCAACAAUAUUGGCGAUAUCCCUGUUCAACUCAUUCAGGAAUCGCGCCAUGGUGGCUACCCUGUCCUCCUUCACAUUAGCCCGAAUCAUUAGAAUUUCCAUCUCUUUAUGGCAAUCCUCUACACUCCUUGGCCCUUGGUACAAUCCCCGCAACAUUUAAUGAAGCUCCCUAUAAUAGUGGCCAGGCACAAACUGUUUUCUCAUCACCGCUUUCAACUCAUCGCAAGCAGUUAUCGACCUCUCCCUAUUCCUCCGCCGUGAAGCGACCACCUGAUCCCAUAGUGAACUCCAAGACUGCAACCUUUACUUUCUUCUUCUUCAAGUAGUUGUGGCACUCAAAUAUCAACUCCACCUUUUUCUCCCAAUCAAGAAAUACCUCUGGGUCACUCCUACCCCGAAAUGUUGGAAUUGACAUUUUAAUGCUACCCAUACCUCCAUCACCGUCGUUUUCCCCAUAGUUUCAGCCCUUCGUUCAAACCUACAAUCUCUAUUCCUCAUCCGUCCCAUCUUUACUUCUUCAAAUUCAUCAUCAUCUCAUUCACUGCCAUACCUAUAUUCAUUUUGCAUAUUCACCCUAGGCUCUCGUCUAGCCAGCUUCCUAAUAUGUGGUAUGUCUGCUUGUUGACCCUGACUAAGGUUUGUAACCGUAGCGUCUAGCCCGUCCAACCUAUUCUCUACACAAAUUAUCAUGCGCUCAAAUCGCUGCAUCAUAUCGUCUGCCAUGUUAUUUUGAUUUCCAUCCUGCUCGAAGUGGAUCCUUCCCGUUCUGACAUUCUCACGAAUUUUCUGUCUCACUAAAAUUUCACUCGGGAUCACUCAAUAUUUGACUUUUACCCUCAAUUAAACUCACCACUCAGCAUUUUACCACUCAAGCUUUCAAUCAAUGUCCAAGAACAAUUUUCAAACUCAACCUGAAUGAUUCUUGUGGAAUUCCAAUUGAAUUGUGCAGAUUCAAGAUUAGGAAGAAAAAGGACUAAAGUAUUAAAUAGAAUUUUUGGAGGGACUAAAAAAAAUCAAUUUUUUUUAUUAAUGAACAGUACAGUACGGAUGAACAGUAACAUUAAAUUUUUUUUAAAAAAACACAAAACAAUUAGAUUACUAAAAACUUUAGAUCUAGAACUAAAACUUAAUGGGAAACACGAAGAACAAAGAAAACAAAGACUCAAAAAUAAGAAGAAAUAAACAAAGGGAUAUAACUUGGAUUCUGGUGCUUAAACUCUGAUACCACCUGAUGUGAACCCGGUAGCAACGAACACUAAUGAACCCACAGAAGAAUGACACAAAUCCCAAGAAAGUCAAAAAUCAAAGUUUAGGACUCAAUUCACACUUUUGGGAACUAAACAACCAAUAGUAUAUUAAACUUAUAAAUUUAAUCCAGAUUUGGAUUUAACCCAACCAAUUAAUAAAUCAAACAACCUCAAGGUAACAAAGAUACGAAAGACCUUUUGAUUACACAAUUAACUGAAUCUUACCCGAGUUUUGAACGCCACAAGAUUGCGAAAUAUUGAUAAGUUUGAUUGUUCCACAUAAGAACAAAUAUUGGAAGCAAAAAAGCCUCUCGAAUUAAUUCUCAAAAUAUCUAAGUAUUCGAAUACAAUAAUGAAAUAAAUUUCCUAUUUAUACUAAAGUUUAGACACAUGGAAAAAAAACCUGAUUUAAGAGUUCUGAAAUAAUAAACUUGCCAAAAAUAAGAAAUUGAGUCAAAGUAGGAUUCUUGCGAGGAAAUUGCAACUUUGGUCUCGAAGUAUACUAUGCGGCCGACUUUGGCCUAACCCGGAUCAUAUCAUCACCCAUGCCAUUCAAAUCACAAACCAUCAUCGUCACUGCCACCAACACUUGUGAUAACAACUACCACUCCGACCACCACCACGACCCACUACCAACAUCACACCACCCCAACUCAUCCCUAAUGUACUCUAGCCCAAUGCUAGAUCGAAACCUAGAACUCGACCAACAUCACCAACAACUCACAUCACAGCCAUCACCAUCGCCAACAUCUCGACCACCAUAGCACUACGUGUGUAGCGCCGUCACAAUAUCGUAGCUCGAUGGAUGCCGACGAUGUCUUUUCUUUCCAACGGUGUUUUCUAGCGAAAGCAAUGCCGCUUUGAGUUGCGUUGUCAAAGGCCACCAAAGUCUCACCACCAUCACGAUUCAGCACUGUUGCCAUUGCCACACCACCAUAGCACAUCACAAAAAAAAAAAAAAAAAAAAAAAAAAAAAAAAGAAACCCCCAAAUUUGACAUCGAAAUGGCCACCACAAUGAAGAAAAUGAAAAUAUAAACCUCGUCACCCAAAUUAGCAGUUAUCGCCGGAGCCGGAAUUGCUUUCUUAAGCUGCCAGAGAGAGAGAGAGAGAGAGAGAGAGA
rnacentral:lncRNA from 1 species